rnacentral:rRNA from 1 species
AGAGUGGUCAAUGGAGGCAACUCUGAACCAGCCAAGUCGCGUGAAGGAUGACUGCCCUACGGGUGGUAAACUUCUUUCUUAAGGGAAUAAAGUGAGCCACGUGUGGCUUUUUGCAUGUACCGUACGAAUAAGGAUCGGCUAACUCCGUGCCAGCAGACGCGGUAAUACGGAGGAUCCGAGCGUUCUCCGGAUUUAUUGGGUUGAGAGGGUGCGCAGGCGAAAUAUUAAGUCGACGGUGAAAGUUUGCAGCUUAACUGUAAAAUUGCCGUUGAAACUGGUUUUCUUGAGUGUAUGUGAAGUAGGCGGAAUUUGUAGUGUAGCGGUGAAAUGCAUAGAUAUUACAAGGAACACAGAUUGCGAAGGCAGCUUACUAAAAUACAACUGACGCUCAGGCACGAAGGCGUGGGUACCAAACA